CCCGUAAGGGAAGAGCGCAGGAUGCGCGAAAUAACCUCCGAAGGAGGUUUGAGCCGAGCGCAGCGAGACCACGUUGCUUUAGCAACGGCCCGCAGGGCAAGCAUCAAAGAUGCGCGUAAUCCUCUCUCGCCGACCA
rnacentral:sRNA from 1 species